AUCGAUGAAGAACGCAGCGAAAUGCGAUAAGUAAUGUGAAUUGCAGAAUUCAGUGAAUCAUCGAAUCUUUGAACGCAAAUUGCGCUCCUUGGUAUUCCGAGGAGCAUGCCUGUUUGAGUGUCAUGAAAUCAUCCACCUCACCUUUGGGCUUUUGUCCGAGGGUCCGGCUGGGACUUGGGUGUUUGCGCGGCGAUGAGCCCCGCUCACCUUAAACAUAUUGUAGUGAUCUAGCCUGUUGGCCGGUUUGACUUGGCGUUAUAAAUUAUUUCGCUGAGGACACUCGCAAGGGUGGCCGUUUGACUGCUUGGUCUCGUCUCAAAGUGCUGCACUUAUAGAGGCUACAACUUCUUGACAUCUGGCCUCAAAUCAGGUAGGACUACCCGCUGAACUUAAGCAUAUCAAUAAGCGGAGGAAAAGAAACUAACAAGGAUUCCCCUAGUAACGGCGAGUGAAGCGGGAAGAGCUCAAAUUUGAAAUCUGGUGGACUUCGUUCAUCCGAGUUGUAAUCUAGAGAAGUGUUUUCCGUGCCGGCCAAUGUACAAGUCCCUUGGAACAGGGCGUCAUAGAGGGUGAGAAUCCCGUACUUGACAUUGACCACCGGUGCUCUGUGAUACACUUUCGACGAGUCGAGUUGUUUGGGAAUGCAGCUCAAAAUGGGUGGUAAAUUCCAUCUAAAGCUAAAUAUUGGCGAGAGACCGAUAGCGAACAAGUACCGUGAGGGAAAGAUGAAAAGCACUUUGGAAAGAGAGUUAAACAGUAUGUGAAAUUGUUAAAAGGGAAACGAUUGAAGUCAGUCGUGUCUUCUGGACUCAGCCGGUUCUGCCGGUGUACUUCCAGUCGACGGGGUCAACAUCAGUUUUGUUCGAUGGAUAAGGGCAGGAGGAAGGUAGCACUCUCGGGUGAACUUAUAGCCUCUUGUCGCAUACGUCGGAUGGGACUGAGGAACGCAGCACGCCUUUUGGCCGGGGUUCGCCCACGUACGUGCUUAGGAUGUUGACAUAAUGGCUUUAAACGACCCGUCUUGAAACACGG
rnacentral:rRNA from 1 species